ensembl:lncRNA
CAUAUUGUGAACAUUUCAUUUUUUCAUAGCAGUUACUAAGGCCAAGGCCAGAUUAUGGACUAGGCAAAUGGGGCCUGGGCCAGGGGGCCUCUGACCAUUAGGGGCCUUGGCCUACAAGGCAUGCAGAGGCCCAAUAAUGGUCAGAGUCCCCUGGGACAAUCUACUGUGAUUACAAAAUGUAGAUAGAUAAACCGACAGCACUUGAAUGUGAGGACCCUUCAGCCUAUCAAGUGCCCCCUGACUACCAGGGCUUCACCUCAAACCCAUAUCAGGGCCCUUCCACAACCCAUACCAGACUAGGGCCUCCAAAAGGCACUCGUAGAAUGUAGAUUUGUCCUUGACUAAGGCAGUCAAUGUUUUUAUAUUUUAUGGUUGUAUAAAAGUAGUCCCAACUGAGUAUUCAUACUUUCCCGCAACUUUAACUGAAAUUAUUAUGUUAAAACAAUAAAAAAAACGCUUAUAAAUUAUAAGUUUGUUUUUUUACCUACUACAUUGAAUUGCAACAACAAAUACAUCGAUCUCAAUCCUGCAUCUGUCAUAAUACCUGGUGACACACUUGUUUUGUAAUGGGAAAUCCCCAUAGGAAUAUUUUAGAGAUUACAUUUGUAGUUCUAUCAAAACCUGCUGCAUUAAAUCCUGCAUGAUAACAGAUUAAUUCACUGUUGGUUAGUUUGAAUAGUGGAUACUGUUGAUAAAUAAAACACUAUUUGAUAGAAUAGUGAUACUGUACGGGAUGUCAGUAUUGGACCCACUGAGACCUAUAGAAUAUUCCCUCUUUAAAUACUGUAACACUAGCUAAGAAAAUGUACAUUUGGGAGAAAACGGUGGCUUAAAAAUUGUACUUGUACUUAAUACUAAGGUGGAUGUUUAUGGUACAAUGCCAAAUGGAAGAUACCUGGGAAAAUACUGCUGACUGGUUUGGUGCGGGUAUACUGCCUGGCCAAAAAAAAGGUCACUGUUUGGAUUUAAAUAAGUAAAUACUUAACAGCCUGUGAUUGAAUAAUUACUGCAGUUAUUAAUAUGUUUCAGCUGGCAACCAUUCAUAUAACCCUAACUGAGUAACUUCUCAUUUCUUAAAAAACAUGUCGUAACACAUAUCCUAUGAUUGUGAAUAGAAUGUUACUGUGUUUCAGAAGGGUGAAAAAGGCCUGCAUCAAGCAAAGAAAACAACUAAGGAGAGUGCUGAAAUGACUGGAAUUGGGUUAAAAACUCUCUAACGCAAUAUUAAAACCUGGAAGGAUAAUGAUGAACCCUCAACUUAGAGGAAUACAUGUGGUCGGAAAAAAAUCUUGAAAAACCAUGGUCGGAGAUGAACCAUGGUCAAAUUGUAAAACAACGUAGGUAGUACUCAUGUUUAAUAGACAAAUAGAAUUUCCACAAGCACAAUGUGACAAGAACUCACAGGAUUGGGACUAAAAUUUGUGGCCACAAGGAAACCACUUGUUAGUGAGGCUAAUCAAGAAAAAAGGAUUUGAUUUGUUAGGGAGCAUAAAGAUUGUACCCUGGAGCCAUGGAAAAAGGUCACGUGGCCUGAUGAGUCCAGACAAACUCUAUUCCACAGCACUGGGCCCAUUAGGGGAAGAAGGCGAAGAGCAUUAAGCAAUGAAGAAAUCAACCCAUGCAUAGUGCCCACUUCACAAGACUCAGGAGGCAGUGUUUUGAUCUGGGGUUGCUUCACUUGGUUAUGUCUACGCUCAGCAAUGUUAUGUGGCAAUAAAAUGAAGUCAGCUGAGUAUCUGAAUGUACUGAAUGACCAGGUUAUCCCAUUAAUGGAUUUUUUCUUACCUGAUGGCACAGGCAUAUUCCAGGACAACAAUGCCAGUAUUCGUCUGACUCAAAUUGUGCGAGAAUGGUUCAGGGAGCAUGAAGAAUAAUUUCCACACAUUCAUUGACCACCACAAAGUCCUGACUUUAGCCCCAUUGAAAGUCUUUGGGAUGGGCUGGAGAAGACUUCAUGGAGUGGUUUGACUCUUCUGCCAUCAGUACUCUGUACAGAAAAACUUUUUGGGAUGUUGCAUAAGGUUGUCUAAACGCCACGGCGAAUGUGCACCAUAAUCACAGCUGAAGGUGGUCCAACGAAAUAUAAAUGUACAUCUUUUUUCAGCCAACCAGUGUAUUUGCUUCAUAGCCUCAAGUCCCUAGGAUGCAGAUACUGCUAAAUAAAUGAAUUUUACAAAAGUAUUCAUCCUUUUGGACUGAUCUACAUUUUGUGACCUAAUGAAAUCAAAAUGUAUUUAAUUAUGAGCCUUUGCCACUGAUCAACACCAAAAAGUGUAUAAUAUUAAAG